AUGCACGCUGGCGGCGUGCCUAAUACAUGCAAGUCGAGCGAACAGACGAGGAGCUUGCUCCUCUGACGUUAGCGGCGGACGGGUGAGUAACACGUGGAUAACCUACCUAUAAGACUGGGAUAACUUCGGGAAACCGGAGCUAAUACCGGAUAAUAUAUUGAACCGCAUGGUUCCAUAGUGAAAGACGGUUUUGCUGUCACUUAUAGAUGGAUCCGCGCCGCAUUAGCUAGUUGGUAAGGUAACGGCUUACCAAGGCAACGAUGCGUAGCCGACCUGAGAGGGUGAUCGGCCACACUGGAACUGAGACACGGUCCAGACUCCUACGGGAGGCAGCAGUAGGGAAUCUUCCGCAAUGGGCGAAAGCCUGACGGAGCAACGCCGCGUGAGUGAUGAAGGUCUUCGGAUCGUAAAACUCUGUUAUUAGGGAAGAACAAAUGUGUAAGUAACUAUGCACGUCUUGACGGUACCUAAUCAGAAAGCCACGGCUAACUACGUG
rnacentral:rRNA from 1 species